CAACAACAAUGGAGUUCUGGGGAGCUGAAGUGAAGCCAGGGGCACCUCUCACGGUGAGGCCUGAAGACGACCACCUCAUCCACAUCUCUCAGGCGUCGAUUGACGGUAAGGUGAAAACGGGAGAACCUAUUGUC